rnacentral:rRNA from 1 species
AGAGUUUGAUCCUGGCUCAGAUUGAACGCUGGCGGCAUGCCUUACACAUGCAAGUCGAACGGCAGCACGGAGCUUGCUCUGGUGGCGAGUGGCGAACGGGUGAGUAAUAUAUCGGAACGUACCCUAGAGUGAGGGAUAACGUAGCGAAAGUUACGCUAAUACCGCAUACGAUCUAAGGAUGAAAGUGGGGGAUCGCAAGACCUCAUGCUCGUGGAGCGGCCGAUAUCUGAUUAGCUAGUUGGUAGGGUAAAAGCCUACCAAGGCAUCGAUCAGUAGCUGGUCUGAGAGGACGACCAGCCACACUGGAACUGAGACACGGUCCAGACUCCUACGGGAGGCAGCAGUGGGGAAUUUUGGACAAUGGGCGAAAGCCUGAUCCAGCAAUGCCGCGUGAGUGAAGAAGGCCUUCGGGUUGUAAAGCUCUUUUGUCAGGGAAGAAACGGUGAGAGCUAAUAUCUCUUGCUAAUGACGGUACCUGAAGAAUAAGCACCGGCUAACUACGUGCCAGCAGCCGCGGUAAUACGUAGGGUGCAAGCGUUAAUCGGAAUUACUGGGCGUAAAGCGUGCG